rnacentral:rRNA from 1 species
UACGUAGGCAGCGAGCGUUGUUCGGAAUUACUGGGCGUAAAGAGUGUGUAGGCGGUGCUCCCAGUCUGUUGUGAAAUCUCCCGGCUUAACUGGGAGGGUGCAGCGGAAACUAGAGUGCUAGAGGGUGGGAGAGGUAAGCGGAAUUCCUGGUGUAGCGGUGGAGUGCGCAGAUAUCAGGAGGAACACCGGUGGCGAAGGCGGGUCUCUGGGCCGUUACUGACGCUGAGGAGCGAAAGCGUGGGGAGCGAACAGG